rnacentral:lncRNA from 1 species
GUACGGCAUAGCAUAGCGCGUACGGCAUAGCGUAGCAUAGCAUAGCGCGUACGGCAUAACGUAGCAUAGCAUAGCGCGUACGGCAUAGCAUAGCGCGUACGGCAUAGCGUGGCAUAGCAUAGCGCGUACGGCAUAGCAUAGCGCGUACGGCAUAGCAUAGCGCGUACGGCAUAGUGUAGCAUAGCAUAGCGCGUACGGCAUAGCAUAGCGCGUACGGCAUAGUGUAGCAUAGCAUAGCGCGUACGGCAUAGCAUAGCGCGUACGGCUAAAUUUGCGUGCUAGGCUCCGCAAGCUUAAUUUUCUUCCGCCGGUGCGUAACACUGCACAGCACGCAGCUGCACGUGCCGACCCGCAGGUGACGGCACAGCAGCGGCUGCAUGACACUGCACAGUGUACAUGUACACGCUAUGACAUACACGCCGUACGCGUCGUAUGCGCUAUGCCGUACGCGCUGUGCUGUGCCGUACGCCCUUAAGCGCCGUGCAACGCACGCAGCGACGGAGCUACGGCCCACUCGCGCGAACAGCGCGCUCUAGUCCGUCGCCGUAGCUCCUACGAAGUAGGAAAGCGGAGGCCUUAGGCCGAUUCGCCGUCCGUCUGUCCGUCUGUCCCUCCGUCUGUCCACCAAGUCGCCGGUUCGACCCUCGCUGCGAUAUUCGCGCAAUUUUUUUCCUUUUAUUUUUCCUCUUUAUGCGACCGCGGAAUUUUUUUUUGCGUAAUUCGUAUUUCCUACUUCUUAAUUGCGUAGUUCGACGCGCGAUUUGACCUGCAAUUCGCUGCGCGCUGUGCCCGCUUCGCCGCGUGCUUCGAUUCCGCGCCGGAGUGGAUGCCGUACGCGUUUCAUGCAGCGCCGUUCUUCGGUUCUGAUCCUUGCAAUUCCUCCUGUCGCUGCGCUUGCGUACUUUCCAGCUUUUCUCUCACGCUUUUCGCUUUCCGCUGUAUUUGUACCGUUUUCGUCGUUUGCGACCUACCACAGCUUAACAGCUGAAUUAGUGUGCGUUUUCGCUUCGUCGGGUUCGCUUUCAUGUCGGAUCAGUUGCCUGGUUCGAAACGGCUCCGGCUUGGCUCGCUAGCGGACGGCUUCCGUGGUGGAAGAACACGGCCGUUCCUUGAUUUGGGUGCGAGUGUUUCAUCUGAGCAGCAGCAGCAACAUUCCGCAUCGCCUGCACAGCAGCAGCAUGCUGCACAACAGCGGACGGGCGUACGAAUCGAUCCAACGGGG